rnacentral:rRNA from 1 species
UGGGGAAUCUUAGACAAUGGGGGCAACCCUGAUCUAGCCAUGCCGCGUGAUCGAUGACGGCCUUAGGGUUGUAAAGAUCUUUCGCCGGGGACGAUAAUGACGGUACCCGGAGAAGAAGUUCCGGCUAACUUCGUGCCAGCAGCCGCGGUAAUACGAAGGGAACUAGCGUUGUUCGGAAUUACUGGGCGUAAAGCGCGUGUAGGCUGAUUGGUCAGUCAGGGGUGAAAUCCCGGGGCUCAACCCCGGAACUGCCUUUGAUACUGCCAGUCUGGAGACCGGUAGAGGUGAGUGGAAUUCCGAGUGUAGAGGUGAAAUUCGUAGAUAUUCGGAGGAACACCAGUGGCGAAGGCGGCUCACUGGACCGGUACUGACGCUGAGACGCGAAAGUGUGGGGAGCAAACAGGAUUAGAUACCCCCGUAGUCC